GCACCACCGAGCCAGCUCGCAGACCAGGGGAGCAAGCCGGUGAGCCUAGUGGACCGCCAGCAGCAGCUGCAGCGGCGCCGGCAUCACACGUGGAUGUGCCAACCGUGAGUGGGCGAGCCAGCCACCGUGGCGGGCCACAUGUGGACACCAGACCUGGAGCUGGCCCACCAGAGAGCGUGCGAUGGCAGGAAUGAGUAUAGGGG